AACGGAGGGGGCAAGUGUUACUCAUGAUGACUGGGCGUAAAGGGUACGUAGACUGUUUUUUAAGUUAAAAGUAAGAGAUUAAUUAAAAAGAUUAAAAUAUUUUUAAAACUGAAUUACUAGAGUUCGAUAGAGGAAAAUGGUAUUCUUAUUGUAGGGGUGAAAUUCUGAGAUAAUAAGAGGACAAUCGAAGGCGAAGGCAAUUUUCUGGUUCGUAACUGACGUUGAGGUACGAAAGCAUGGGGAGCAAAUAGGAUUAGAUACCCGGUAGU
rnacentral:rRNA from 1 species